rnacentral:rRNA from 1 species
GAUGAACGCUAGCGGCAGGCUUAAUACAUGCAAGUCGAGGGGCAGCACAGGUAGCAAUACUGGGUGGCGACCGGCAAACGGGUGCGGAACACGUACACAACUUACCUUAGAGUGGAGGAUAGCCCAGGGAAACUUGGAUUAAUACCCCAUAAGACAGGGGGCCCGCAUGGGCAUAUUGUUAAAGAUUUAUCGCUUUAAGAUGGGUGUGCGUAUGGUUGGGUAGUUGGUAGGGUAAAGGCCUACCAAGCCGACGAUCAUUAACUGGUGUGAGAGCACGACCAGUCACACGGGCACUGAGACACGGGCCCGACUCCUACGGGAGGCAGCAGUAAGGAAUAUUGGUCAAUGGACGGAAGUCUGAACCAGCCAUGCCGCGUGAAGGAUGAAGGUCCUCUGGAUUGUAAACUUCUUUUAUAGGGGGCGAAAAAGGGCCAUUCUUGGUCAACUGACGGUACUCUAUGAAUAAGCACCGGCUAACUCCGUGCCAGCAGCCGCCGCGUAAC